rnacentral:rRNA from 1 species
UACAGAGGGUGCGAGCGUUAAUCGGAAUUACUGGGCGUAAAGCGCGCGUAGGCGGCUUUGCAAGUCGGGUGUGAAAUCCCCAGGCUCAACCUGGGAACUGCAUUCGAGACUGCAUUGCUAGAGUAUGGGAGAGGGAAGUGGAAUUUACGGUGUAGCGGUGAAAUGCGUAGAUAUCGUAAGGAAGACCAGUGGCGAAGGCGGGUCUCUGGACAGUUCCUGACGCUGAGGCACGAAAGGCCAGGGGAGGCAAACGGG